rnacentral:rRNA from 1 species
GACGGAAGGUGCAAGCGUUGCUCGGAAUCACUGGGCGUAAAGGGUGCGUAGGCGGCUUGGUAAGUUGGGUGUGAAAGCCCCGGGCUCAGCCCGGGAAGGGCACUCGAAACUGCCGAGCUGGAGUGCCGGAGGGGAAAGUGGAAUUCCUGGUGUAGCGGUGAAAUGCGUAGAUAUCAGGAGGAAUACCGGUGGCGAAAGCGACUCUCUGGACGGCAACUGACGCUGAGGCACGAAAGCGUGGGGAGCAAACAGG